rnacentral:misc_RNA from 1 species
GCUCCGUUGGUGAACCAGCGGAGGGAUCAUUACAGAGUUGCAAAACUCCCAAACCAUUGUGAACGUUACCUAUCCCGUUGCUUCGGCGGGCGGCCCGGGCCCCGCGCCCGGCGCCCCCCGGCCCCCCGUGGGCGCCCGCCGGAGGUAAACCAAACCCUUGAAUUGCAUGGCCUCUCUGAGUCUUCUGUACUGAAUAAGUCAAAACUUUCAACAACGGAUCUCUUGGUUCUAGCAUCGGUGAAGAACGCAGC